UACAUAGGGAGCAAGCGUUGUCCGGAUUUACUGGGCGUAAAGAGCUCGUAGGCGGUUAUGUAAGUCGAUAAGUGAAAUCUCCAGGCUCAACCUGGAGCGGCCUUACGAUACUACAUUGACUUGAGUACGGUAGAGGAGUGUGGAAUUUCUGGUGUAGCGGUGAAAUGCGCAGAUAUCAGAAGGAACACCUAUGGCGAAGGCAGCACUCUGGGCCGAAACUGACGCUGAGGAGCGAAAGCGUGGGGAGCGAACAGG
rnacentral:rRNA from 1 species